rnacentral:tRNA from 1 species
GGCCGGUUAGCUCAGUGGUUUGAGCGCAGUGCUGAUAACAAGGACUGACACCGAGGUCGCGGGUUUGAUUCCCGCUCGGUCC